rnacentral:tRNA from 1 species
GAGGGUAUAGCUCAGUGGUAGAGCGUUGUGCUCAGCAUGCAUGAGGUCAUGGGUUCGAUCCCCAGUACCUCCA